rnacentral:rRNA from 1 species
AGAUAAGAUUUCCCAUACCGAAAGGUAGUAAGACCCCUUGAAGACGACGAGGUAGAUAGGGCAGAGGUGGAAGUGCGGCAACGCAUGGAGCUGACUGUCACUAAUCGGUCGAGGCUUUGACCAA